GAGGGUAUAACUCAGUGGUAUGGCAUGUGUCUAGCAAAUACAAGGUCCUGGGUUCAGUCCCCAGUACCUUCA
rnacentral:tRNA from 1 species